rnacentral:rRNA from 1 species
GUCCACGCCGUAAACGAUGAUCACUCGCUGUUGGCGAUAUACAGUCAGCGGCUAAGCAAAAGCAUUAAGUGAUCCACCUGGGGAGUACGGCCGCAAGGCUGAAACUCAAAAGGAAUUGACGGGGGCCCGCACAAGCGGAGGAACAUGUGGUUUAAUUCGAUGAUACGCGAGGAACCUUACCUGGGCUUAAAAUGUAGAGUGCAUGAGGUGGAAAACACUUCUUUCCUUGGGACUCUUUGCAAGGUGCUGCAGUGUGU